AUACGGAGGGUGCAAGCGUUAUUCGGAAUCACUGGGCGUAAAGGACGCGUAGGCGGGUUGGCAAGUCAGAUGUGAAAUCCUACAGCUUAACUGUAGAACUGCAUUUGAAACUGCUAACCUAGAGUAUGGGAGGGGGAGAUGGAAUUAGUGGUGUAGGGGUAAAAUCCGUAGAUAUCACUAGGAAUACCGAAAGCGAAGGCGAUCUCCUGGAACAUAACUGACGAUAAGGCGUGAAAGCGUGGGGAGCAAACAGGAUUAGAAACCCUAGUAGUCC
rnacentral:rRNA from 1 species